UUGUUUAUGGAUUUCUUUUUCUUUCACAGAUGAUGAUAAUGAUGGGAAUUAUUGGGGUCAUCUUGAUGGGCAUCGUUUUCAUGUACUUCUACUACUGAGCCUCUCGUGGGACGCACAAGGACAGGAGACUCUGGCUUUGUGUGAACUCAACCCCUCCUUCUCUCCCCACCAAUGCCUUUCAUUGAAUCCACAGUGUGUGUGUGCAGUCAUUGACGCAGUGCCUCUCCCUCCCUUUGUCUGUCACUGCAUUUCUUUGUACCUCUCUUGAGUGCUUUGCAACAGUGCCCGAGCUUACUCAAAAACUCCUUCGGUUAGGAAUAUCUACUUAUGGUUUUAGAUUGGAGAAUGUGUUGGCCCUUUUCAGGCCAAAAAAUAAUAAAAAAGAAUGGGUGAUGCAAUAAUGUAGAUCUGUAGCGCUGGUCCAAAUGGACCCAUGAAUAACUAAAGCGGGAAAAUGAAACGCAAACUUCAGUUAAGUUUGAGUUUAGGAUCAAGUCAUGCAUUUAUGCAUAGAAGCCAAAGUGUACUAGUUUAGCCAGAAACAACAGCUGUGGUCCUAUCGUUAGAGUAUUAACAAAGUGCAACUGCAAUGAGAAAUUACAUGAAUAUUUAUUAGCAUUGUUUUUACCCUCCUCCACAUAUAGACUCCUAGAAGCAACUUGUUUUCGCUUCUUAAUAUGGACCUUUAUAGACCCGAAUGGUUUUAGAGCGGUAAAGACUGUGUGAAUUAAAUGUCUUAAAUUGACUAUUGAUUUAGGAUGUUAAUUCCUUCUAAAACAUGGAUGGCGCAAUUUUUAUAAUUCAUUUUAAGAUUUAAAAUGUUUAAAAAGCAUACGAGAAAGAUUGUAGGAUGUUUUAAGCAUCUGCAGUCGACUUGAGGGGAAUAUCUGAUCACAGAUCGUCACUUUUGCUGUUUGAUGUUAUGACUUUGACGUUAAUGUCAGCCAGAUCUGGAGGAAAAAACAGGGAUGAAAAAAUGUAACAUUAAUGGUGAGAUGUGGUGUAAAAGAAAGAUCUAACAUUACAGCAGUGCUCACAAUAUAAAAUAUUUUAAAGUAGAUUUUUUUUAUAUUUAUAUAUUCAAGAUUAUUGUGACAAGUGUGGUCACAAAUGCAAUUUAUUUAGAUUUAUGUAUUGAUAAUAUAAAUGUGACUAUUAAAAAAUUGGUAAAAUCAAUGGUGAAAUUCAGAUCCUGAUCAUAUUAACCCCUUGCACCUCCUGACUUUACUGGCAACAUGAUGUCUUUGGGUUGAAUGAACUACUGCUGAUAUGCAAAAUGAAAGAGAAAUAAUAAUGUGACUAGUUUAAUGUAUUUGUAAAUAUUUGGGAUUCAGUGUGGGAGCAGAUACCUAAUCAGCACUGGAGACGACAAUGUUCAGGGAUGUACCUCUGCAUGUGUUUGUGUAAAAUAUACAUGGGCACUUUAACCACCUUCAUUAUAGUGAUUGUAGGUUUAACUGGACAUUUUUGGGGUAUUACGGACAUAUUGUCCAGCACCUAAAACUAUGACAAUUUGCUCUUGUUGAUGUGGAAUUUAAUGCAAGAUCAUUAUGUGUGAAUAAUAUCUCCUACAUUCAGCAUUAACCCAAACUGCAAACCUAAUGCAGGGCAGUGAAUGUUAUUCCCUUAAAAAAAACUGACUACAUUGUGUUUUAUGCAACCUAUUCAUUUGUAAAUACGCGCUGCAGAGAUGCAUAAAAUAACAGUUCCUGUCCCUGAGCAUUUGGAGCCAAGCUGCUUACUCGUAGUUCAUUUUAAAGCAUGUCUGCUUGCCCACCAUGUGCUGAUUCUAAUAAAAUGCUGAUGCUGUUUCUCGCUC